AGGAGGAACCCUCCCCCGGGUCCAGCACAGUACAGGGCCAAAGCGGGGCUGCCCCAGCUUGUGGACAGUGGGGCCUCGGCAUCUGUGUGCCCGCAAUUUGGGGGCUGGGUGGGUUCCAGUGACGCCUCAACCACCUCCUGCUGGGCUCACAGACGGCUUAGCCAUCCCACCCGAGCCUUGGAGCAAUCCUACCCGCCCCCCCCACCAUCCACCACCCAGGUGGUACCUGGGCCCAGCGCAGGGGAGGACAAGUCCUGCUCAGACCUGCUCCUCUCCAGGAAUUGCUGGGAAUUAGAUGGAGUGACGCCUGCCCGCGGCAGAGGACAGGGCUGGUUCCCGAAGCCCCGCGUGGGCACCUCUGAUAACCACCACGGUGGCUGUUCUUCAUGCCGCCGGCUCAUUAGGCUUUCUGGGGCCGGGCCAAGAAAUUGCCAAGGACAAGACGGGCGGCGUCUGCCGGCAAACUCUGCGGAGCCCACUCCCCUCCGAGGCCCUUCCUUCAGUGUGAGCGAGGGGGUGAGUUCCGCUGAGCUAGAACCGCACCUGACAAGUGACACUUUGACGAGCGACGUGAUGACGAGUCCCUGGGGAGGCUGUGGAGUCUGGUUCCUGCAGACACUGUCUCCCCUGAGGCAGUCUCCGUGCUUGAGUGCUGAGUCUGUGUGUGUGUGUGUGUGUGUGUGUGUGUGUGUGUGUAUGUGUGUGUGUACGCACAUUCUGCUUCUCUGAGGAAGAUUCUCCAGAUUCCACAGCCGACUUGACAGAGGCCCUCCUGAACACUCGUGAGGCCCACAGACGUGGAGAACAGAUGUGACAAACCAGCCACUGGCUGCUGAAUUCAGGUGAUCCCUCCCAGAGUUGCCCUGUCCUCACCGCCUAGUUCCAAGCCGGUCCCCUCGGAGCUGCAGCUCCUGCCCGGAUGUGGUGAGUAAGUGAAGAUUCAGCCUCCAGGCGUGUGAUCUGCUUGCUAACUCCAAACCGCUGGAUCAAGCCCAAGUCAUCAGUCCUGUGCUAGGACAGAGGAGCCUGGUGGGCUAUACAGUUCAUGGGAUCACAAAGAGCUGGACAUGACUAAGCACAUCCCUGGAGAAGGAAAUGGCAACCCACUCCAGUAUUCUUCCCGGAAUAUGCUAUGGACAGAGGAGCCUGGUGGGCUACAGUUCAUAGGAUCGUAAAGAGUUGGACACUGGGUGGAUGCAGAAAUAAAUGAAACAGGAUCUCUUUCUUAAGAGAACUC
rnacentral:lncRNA from 1 species